GUGCCAUUGCUGGGAAAAUAUAUUAGGCUAAUGGGAGCACGAUCUGAAUGCUGUUCAUUCCUCUGAUCACCACAGUGCCUAGAGGGUGUCCGGGAAGUAUCAUUUAAAUUUAACCUGAAUAUGAUUUGUAAUUGUAGAUCAACAUUCGUGUGAAUUCAUCAAUAAAGUCUGUACUGCUUAUGUACAAUGUAGUAGAUAUAUAGAACUUGCAUAGUAAUAUAUGAUUUGCUAACUCUUUCAUAGCUAAUAUUUAUCUCACAGCUGUUAAUUUCCCUGCUAUUCUCUUUGGAAGGCCUAUUGGAAAGUAUGUGGGAUUUUGGAUCAGCAAGACAGCUGAUCUACCACAUGCCAGCCAUGUGCUGAUAUUCCUGUCUCUCUCAAUAAAAUAAAGCUGGGCGAAGAGCAGGGCUGCCUGACUGCUUCAGCACAUGAGGGCCACGAAGCAAGGACCUGUGACGCUGUCAGCAUCACCUGCCUGGACAUGAUGUGCCUAAGUGUGAACCAGCUCCGGUAGAAAACCUCCCCCUGGAGGCCUGGGUGUGGGCUUUGGGGCAGAGCAGAGUGCCUUUCCAGCCUAUUGUCUG
rnacentral:lncRNA from 12 species